UGCUGCCACCACCCAAGUGCAGAACCCCUUUGAGAGCCCAGGAAUCAGAGCGCACUUUGGAAUUCCUUCCUGUAGGGUACCCUCAAGCCCUUUCACCCCUCCCCCGUAGGGAAGAGCUGAGAAAGAAAGAAAAAAGGAAAUCAGCUAUUGCCACCAGCUAAUUAAACAACAUAUGCACAAACCUCUUAAGAC